ACUUGGCGGCCACGUGACGGCAGCGGGGCCGGCGGCGCGCUCGCCUCCUGCCGGGCCGCGACGGGGCCGCCCGCGCCGGUCCGCACCGGCCCGCGGGCGUCGGGGCAGCGGCGGGCAGCGCGGGGAGGCGGCGGGGCAGAGGCCGGCGGGGCGGCAGCACGGCGGGAGGAACGGGCGCAGCGAGAAGCCCCCGGCUCGGCCCGCGCCCCGGGGAGCGAGGGGCCGCAGGGCCUGCGGCGAGAGGAGCGCGGCCACCGCCCGGGCCGGCGCGCGCAGCGCUGGCGGUACCGCGCGAGCCGCCGGGCGUCCUGCGUAGUGCGCUCCAUGGGCCUGCGUGACCCGCCCGGGGCGCUGAAGCCGCCAGGGUUGGCUGGAGCCCGGCCGAAGCCGAGUCCCAGCGAGGAAGGCCGCGCUAGAGGCCGCGCUCGUUAAGAGCCGCUGCUCAGCCCCGUCGCCGCGGGAGCGGUGCUUGGCCGCGGCGUCGGGGCAGCACCUGGGCCCCGCACGGCGCCAGCAGCCAGCCCGUCGCCUGCCCAGCGGGCGCGUUCCCACCGUUGCCGCCGGGAAGCAGCCCGGGGCUGGUCCCGCUGGCUGGCGGCUGCCGUCGCGGCGUGGGCCCGCGGGGCUCCGCUGGUGGCGGGACGAGAUGGCGACUGCCGGGCACGAACGGCGAGGGGGAGCGGUGGGCUCCGAAGGUUUAGCUGGCCUUGCAGGCAGGCAGGCAGAGGGGGUCAGGUGCCUUUUGUUUAAAAGCGAAUCUGCCUGUGGAUCUGCCUCGUUAGUGGUACUCAAUAAAUAGAUAAUUUUUACUACAGAUAAGAAACUACAACAAUAUCCUUUUGUUUUCCAGCUUCAGAGGUCAAACGUUUCAAGGAAUUUGUGACUUUUUUUUCCCUGACAGAAAAAAUUUGACUUAAUGAAAGCAAAACAUUUCUUCUCUUUCCUAACCCUUCCAAACUAUGCACUAUUUUACAUACGUGUGCUCUUCCUAAGAUUUGUCUCUCCCCAUUCUAUGAGCCUUUUUCCUAAAUACGCUUUAGUUUUCUGAGUGUAUUGUAUUUAAAUUAAGAUGGAAGAACACUACUACUGUGAAAGUGUAUUUAUCUUGUACUUAAAAGCGUUUAUGGCCAUGUGUUCGGAAAUUGCAGUUUUUAAUGCAGCGUUUUUUUUUAAACAGAGCAAACUGCACUUGAACCUUCCUUGUUGAUUCUCAAAAUAAUCAAAGUUUUAUCAACAUGGUAUAAACAUACUACAUAUUUUUGCAUAAGCAAACACGGAACGUGUUUGAAGCCAGUCCUGUCCUCGGUGAGAUGAGUUCACAGCUUCAGUGCCUGCCUCUCCCAUCAGACACAGAUCGCUCCGCACAGCCCCGUCGGUGGGGAAGGCUUUGCACUUGGCUGGUGCCACACGCAGAGGACUAAGCCCGCCCCACCAAGAUGACCACCUCCAGUGGGACGAUGAGCUGUCCGUCUGCUCGCAAAGCCCCAUCGCGCCGAUUGCCACCUGGAGAGGAUUCCACAACCACACAAGCAAGCAGUGUAUACAGAUGCUUCCAGACAGUGCAGUUAGGAAUCUGUUUACAUCCCAGAAUAAAACAAGAAACAAACACAAAUCUGUGGAUGACUAGGAAUCAUCAAAAGCAAGUUAUCCCCUUGAUUACAAAUUCCUAACUCCCAUCGCUCUGGAACGUGCAGGAGAGGGCAGAACCCAACCUCUCUGUGAAAGACAGGCUCUGUAUAUACCAGUCCUGCGUGUAGUGCCACUUAAAAUGUCUUUUGACAGAAGAAAUGGGAGUAAUUUUAAAGGCUGUAGCAUUGAAAGUAGUGAUGCAGUAAGAAAGAAAAACCUUUGCUAGGCUUCGCAAUUGCAGUAAAAACCAGUUCUUGACAAGAGGAGAAACUUCAUGUUCCAGUCUAGCAUAGGUCUGAUCUUAGGACAAGCAGUUAUAAGCCAACAAUAUUUCAUGACUACAGUUGGAUUUCCAUCUUGUUGGUUUUUUCCAGACAGAAGAGAGGAGGAGCUAAUAAACAAAACACCUUAGCAAACAUCAUAACAAAAAAUAUUCCUACAUAGUAACAGAACUAUGAUAAAUAUUGUGUGGUUAUUUGCUUUGGCAGGGUCUGCAUUUAAGAGCAAGAGAAUGCAUGAAGAAACACACAACCCAGUGUCAUGUACAUCAUUAAAGUUUCCACAGAUCCAUUUUAGUAAAUGCACUUUGUUAAAUUAAGAAAUUUCUUUCUGAGCCAAGAUUACUUAAAAAAAAAAGUCUACUGAGGCCUCUGUUAUAUUAUAAAUGAAAAUGACAACUGGCAA